rnacentral:lncRNA from 1 species
UGGUACAGCACCCAAUAGAAGUUUGCAGAUGUGACAGUGAUCAGUGGAGACCUGGUGCAAGGUUUCUAGAAAGGACUUCAAACACCAUGUUUAAUUUCCUAGUGCUGUAAAGCUGGAAAUUCAAACUUCCAUCAGCACGUACGCAUGGUCUCAUAAGGGGCAGAGAUGAAGCCGUGUGUCCUCGCUAGCACCCAUGGAUGCAUGGCAGUGAUUAUGUCCCAUGAUGCUGGAGCGAUAUUGGGGCAACCCAGCGCACGGCGCUGGCUGGAAGGAGUGGUGUGGAGCAUCAAGGAGAGGUUUUUCAGCCCUCAGACCUGCCCCGGUCACCCUAGUUCUUGCAGUGAAGCAUGGGCUGGCAGUGGAGCUGCAGUGACUGAAUCGUCGCACAUCCAGCUCUGUUGUGUGAAUGUCUCUGCUCUUGUCCUUCCUAACCCCGACUUGUUGAUCGCAGAUCGUCAAGGACUCUUUCCUGCAAGAUGUGGGCAGCGCAUACUGAAGGCCGUGGGGAGAGGAAGCUCUGCUGCAUGCUGUUUGCAACCUGCACGCCCCCAUCAGCCCCAGUGGGCGUUCCUGUCAGCGGUGUGACCAAAGGAUAGGGACACCACGCCUGCCCUGAGCUCAGAGGUGGCAUGGAAAUGGUGCUCCUACAGCUGGGGCAGAGCAAGGCCUCUGCUGGUUGCCUGGUUCUGUAGAGCUGCAUGUUCCAGGAGUAAUCACCACUUAUUUUACUGGUGUGUAUGUGACCUUAGAUGCUAAAAGGGUCCUGAGCCUUUAAGCCCCCCAAAUCUCCCCCAUUUUAUGUACUUCCUGAGGUCAGAGGGAGUGCUUGAAUUCUUUGUGGUUUUGUCUCUCAGAGUUUAACCGGUAUACUGCUGGUUUGUGUUCUUGGCACUAAAAAACAAGAGCCAUCAGAAUACACAUACGCUGUUCUAAGGUAUUCUUUCCUUAAACAGUUGAAAUAGUUCAGCCUGUUUGACCAGACCAUGCUGUGAUAACAUGGUUUUACACAAUUUAUUCUGAGAAGCUUUGCUUGCAGUUUUCCUGAUGGAUAACUUUCUCCCUGAAAUGGUACUAAACCCUAUGAAAUACAGCAGAUCUCUAUGUAGAAUUGAGGGACUCUGAUGUUUGCUUAAGUCAAUCUGCAGCAAUUCAAGGCAGGUUCAUCUGAGCUCUCUGAUUUGUACAUUGCAUUUUGAAUGUUUUCUAUCGGUAGCAUUGAUAAGGUUCCUAGCAGUUAAACCCCCAAUGUGUAAGUGGAAUUAGGGGCCAUUGUAUGCAUCCCAGUUACCUCUGACUGUUCAAACCUUGUUUGUGUAAAACAAUAAAACACCUAAACAUUAAAAGGAGAUGUGAUUC